GACCAGACUCCUACGGGAGGCAGCAGUGAGGAAUAUUGGUCAAUGGGCGGAAGCCUGAACCAGCCAAGUCGCGUGAGGGAAGAAGGCCCUGCGGGUCGCAGACCUCUUUGGACGGGGAGCAAGGCCGCCGACGUGUCGGCGGAAGGAGAGUACCCGCAGAGCAAGCAUCGGCUAACUCCGUGCCAGCAGCCGCGGUAAUACGGAGGAUGCGAGCGUUAUCCGGAUUUACUGGGUGUAAAGGGCGCGUAGGCGGGAUGGAAAGUCAGAUGUGAAAUCCAAGGACUCAACCCUUGAACUGCAUUUGAAACUGUCGUUCUUGAGGACUGGAGAGGUUGACGGAAUUCAU
rnacentral:rRNA from 1 species